CCGGCGUAACAGGGCAAUAGAUGGCGCCGACUGCAACUGCGUCGCUGAAAACCCAUCAACAAGUGAAGGGCCGGGCCAUAAGUGAAAGGCCCGGGCGAAGCCAGAACUUCGCAAAUCUCAAGCAAGCAAGCAACAAGUGAAGCAAGGAACGACCUGUUGUUCUUCUGUCAGUCGGACUAUGCAUACCAUGUAGAUGCAUUGUAAGUAAUCUUGUAUGGUUUUAGUUAUUAAUUUUAUUAUA